GGACUAACACCGAUAUGCUUUGGGGAGCUGUACGUAAGCGUUGAUCCAGAGAUUUCCGAAUGGGGGAACCCACUAUCUUUAGUCGGAUAGUAUCCUUACGUGAAUACAUAGCGUGAGGAAGGCAGACCCAGGGAACUGAAACAUCUAAGUACCUGGAGGAAGAGAAAGAAAAAUCGAUUUCCUGAGUAGCGGCGAGCGAAACGGAAAGAGCCCAAACCAAGAAGCUUGCUUCUUGGGGUUGUAGGACACUCUAUACGGAGUUACAAAAGAAAGUUAUAAAUGAAGCGGUCUGGAAAGGCCCGCCAAAGACGGUAACAGCCCGGUAGUUGAAAUGGCUUUCCCUCCAGAGUGGAUCCUGAGUACGGCGGAACACGUGAAAUUCCGUCGGAAUCCGGGAGGACCAUCUCCCAAGGCUAAAUACUCCCUAGUGACCGAUAGUGAACCAGUACCGUGAGGGAAAGGUGAAAAGCACCCCGGAAGGGGAGUGAAACAGUUCCUGAAACCGUGUGCCUACAAGUAGUUAGAGCCCGUUAAUGGGUGAUAGCGUGCCUUUUGUAGAAUGAACCGGCGAGUUACGAUUUGUUGCAAGGUUAAGCGGAAAAAGCGGAGCCGUAGCGAAAGCGAGUCUGAAUAGGGCGCAUAAGUAACAGGUCGUAGACCCGAAACCAGGUGAUCUACCCAUGUCCAGGAUGAAGGUAAGGUAAUACUUACUGGAGGUCCGAACCCACGCACGUUGAAAAGUGCGGGGAUGAGGUGUGGGUAGCGGAGAAAUUCCAAUCGAACUUGGAGAUAGCUGGUUCUCUCCGAAAUAGCUUUAGGGCUAGCCUCGAGGUAAAGAGUCAUGGAGGUAGAGCACUGUUUGGACUAGGGGCCCUUCUCGGGUUACCGAAUUCAGAUAAACUCCGAAUGCCAUGUACUUAUACUCGGGAGUCAGACUGCGAGUGAUAAGAUCCGUAGUCGAAAGGGAAACAGCCCAGACCACCAGUUAAGGUCCCCAAAUAUAUGUUAAGUGGAAAAGGAUGUGGGGUUGCUUAGACAACCAGGAUGUUGGCUUAGAAGCAGCCACCAUUGAAAGAGUGCGUAAUAGCUCACUGGUCGAGUGACCCCGCGCCGAAAAUGUACCGGGGCUAAACAUAUUACCGAAACUGUGGAUGAACCUCUUUAGAGGUUCGUGGUAGGAGAGCGUUCUAAGGGCGGUGAAGUCAGACCGGAAGGACUGGUGGAGCGCUUAGAAGUGAGAAUGCCGGUAUGAGUAGCGAAAGAAGGGUGAGAAUCCCUUCCACCGAAUAUCUAAGGUUUCCUGAGGAAGGCUCGUCCGCUCAGGGUUAGUCGGGACCUAAGCCGAGGCCGAUAGGCGUAGGCGAUGGACAACAGGUAGAGAUUCCUGUACCAGUGCUAAUUGUUUAACCGAUGGGGUGACACAGAAGGAUAGGGAAUCGCACGAAUGGAAAUGUGCGUCCAAGCAGUGAGUGUGAGAAGUAGGCAAAUCCGCUUCUCGCGAAGCAUGAGCUGUGAUGGGGAAGGAAAUUAAGUACGGAAGUUCCUGAUUUCACGCUGU
rnacentral:rRNA from 1 species